rnacentral:rRNA from 1 species
UAACACGUAGGAACGUACCCCAAAGCGAGGGAUAAGCAUCAGAAAUGGUGUCUAAUACCGCAUGUGCUCUAAGGAGUAAAGCUUCGGCGCUUUGGGAGCGGCCUGCGCAUGAUUAGCUUGUUGGUGAGGUAAUAGCUCACCAAGGCGACGAUCAUUAGCUGGUCUGAGAGGAUGAUCAGCCAGACUGGGACUGAGACACGGCCCAG